rnacentral:rRNA from 1 species
GACAGCAGCCGCCGCGGGAAUACAGAGGGUGCGAGCGUUAAUCGGAUUUACUGGGCGUAAAGCGUGCGUAGGCGGCUUUUUAAGUCGGAUGUGAAAUCCCUGAGCUUAACUUAGGAAUUGCAUUCGAUACUGGGAAGCUAGAGUAUGGGAGAGGAUGGUAGAAUUCCAGGUGUAGCGGUGAAAUGCGUAGAGAUCUGGAGGAAUACCGAUGGCGAAGGCAGCCAUCUGGCCUAAUACUGACGCUGAGGUACGAAAGCAUGGGGAGCAAACAGGAUUAGAUACCCCCGUAGUCCCUGUCUCUUAUAC